ensembl:misc_RNA Metazoa_SRP Metazoan signal recognition particle RNA
GCUGGGCGUGGUGGUGCACACCUGUAAUCCCAGCUACUCAGGAGGCUGAGGCACGAGAAUUGCUUGAACUCAGGAGGCGGAGGUUGCAGUGACCAGAGAUCCUGCCACUGCACUCCAGCCUGGGUGACAGAGCAAGACUCUGCCUCCA